GAGACGUUGCAUCCUGUAAGAGUGGAGUUUGACGGAGCGGCUGAACGACAGAUCGGUUCUAACAGUCAGUGACUUUCAGCUUUAUUUAAACCUUAAAUUUAAUCUUGUGUCGUCAGAUUUAAACUCAGGUUCAGUUAUUGAGUGAAAACACCAACAGACUCAGACAUUUAGGACAAACUAAGAGUCAGAUGAGCAGAAACAGAGAACACGGACAUGUCUGCUGUAACUGCGUCACUCUGCUCCACUUUGCUGAUGUUCGAUGGAGUCUUCAUGUUUGUCUCUGCAGAUUUUCCACCCUGAUGACCACAGAGGCCUUUGAGGCUUCCAGACGUCCUUCACAACAACAGUAAGUUUUUCUUUCUGUUUCUAAAACUCACUUUUAGUCUUUAAGCUAAAAAAAUCUGUUUGAAGGUUUCACUUUACAAUUCACCUCCAUAGAAAAAAAGGAAAUUUAGCAGAAAACCUCAAAUUCUAAAACUGGUGAUUCUUUGUUCUUUGAAUUGGACAGCACUGGAUGAACUGGUGAUUUACACAGGCUACUGGUUUUGUAAACUGGUGCAGGCUGCUGCUGGUUCUCAGGUUAGUCAGAGUUAUGUCGCGGUGUUGUUUGAUAAGCUGCUCGGCAGACACAGACCUCCGACCUCGGAGCUGAAGCUGAAUCAGGAAGAGGCGGAGCAGGAUGUGAGCUUGAAACUUGCUGUGGGAAACAAACUCGGUGCAGAGACAAAACAAACUUCUGCUUCAAAGACACAAACUGUUCAUGCAUGACGACUGACACAUGAAACAGGUUCAGAUCUUUCCUGCCAGGAUGCUUCAAGAACUGAAGCAAUAAAACUUUCUUUCGACUUCACCUCUUCUGUUGUGACGCACUUGUUUCUGCUCGACCCCGCAGUGCAGCGCACCAAACGUCACAAUGACACAACUUCCUGUAAACCAACGUUACUGAUCCAACUGCUUUUUAAGCCUAAAUUUUAAUCUCAUGACAGACUGAGACAUUUAGAAAAAGCUAAGAGUCAGAUCAAGAACCCGGAAAUGUUUGCUGUAAUUACGUCACUCUGCUCCACUUUGAUGUUUGCCGUGUUCGUCUCUGCAGACCAGGAAAUCAUCACAGCUGAGUCUGGACAGAACGUCACUCUGACAUGUCGAGCUUCAAACAACAUUAUAGCAGUAAACUGGAGCAGAGCUGACCUGGGAAC
ensembl:lncRNA